UGGGAACUCGCAGGACUGAAGUUCGUGCAGCUCUUUUAGGCAAAGCCAAUCACCGUCGACAGACACGCGGAAAUUGCACAGGUAAAUUGUAUCGUUGAUGCUAGACAUCUCAGAUUUUAUUCGACAUGGAAAAGAAUCCAUCGAGAUCAUGGAGAGAGCUCGUUGGUUUCUUUUCGAUCUCGUGCCUUGAUGAUACAUUCGCCUGAGCUCAAAAGAAACCGAGGAAGGCGCGUAACUAUGUAACGUUCACGGCGGAACUGGACUACUCGACAGCCCCACCCCAUAAGAUCAAUAAAACCCCCCGUUCUCCUCUGCGCAUGAUUACUGCGCUUCCUAUCCUAAUUUGUAGGGACGUAAGCAAAAAUUAUUGCAAAUGAAUCACAAUAUCCGUUUCUUGGUUAUCAGUUAGGCUGAUUUCUUGUCCAUCUACUUUAACGCAGAUUUCUUGGGGAAACGACUACGUUUUGUGAUUUUGAAAUCAACGAUUCUAGUUGAUAAUCAUUACUCUGUUGUGUAGUUCUUCCUAACAGUAACGCCUCAUCUCAAGGAAGUAUUCUAAUUAGUGAUUUAUCACCCUUAAUAGUUUAUACCUUUGCAUUAUUGCACAAAAUAAAACGUUGGGUAAAUUUGCCCGUCGACACCUAGCGGUGCCAGAUAAAAUCAUUUUUAAUGGAAACAUCAGCAACUAGAUGGCGUGAUUUUUACCUCUAAGGAACCACAAAAAUGGAGAAAUGGUAUGGCAUGGAAUUUUACCAAAACAAACGAAUUAAAGGCACUUGGGAGAGCUGAUCCUUCGUUGGACGACACGACGAGAAAAACAGGCCAUCUAAUUCCUUUCAGCUCCUCUGAUGGACUUUGUAGGGCUGGGCUGUUCAUUAUCACACUUGUUCACCACGAUAAAGUUUUCAAUAAAUAAUUUAACUAUGACAUCGAUUCAGUAUUCCCGACAUAUGCACAAGACGCGAAGACCUGCUGGACUCAACUGAACGAAUUUAUCGAGUCAAUGCCUCAAAUUCCUUCAUUGGUCGAUUGGGCUAAACAGCAAUACAACCUGUUGUUGUCUAAAAAUGUCAAACUACCAAAAAUACACCGAAGGCCUUGGGCUUCGCUGCGAA